AUUGAACGCUGGCGGCAGGCCUAACACAUGCAAGUCGAGCGAGCGGCGGACGGGUGUGUAAUGUGUGGGAAAAUGCCUGAUGGAGGGGGGUAACUACUGGAAACGGUAGCUCAUACCGCCUACCAUCAGGUGUGCCCCGAUGGGAUAAGCUAGUGGGUGGGGUAACGGCUCACCUAGGCGACGAUCCCUCGCUGGUCUGAGAGGAUGACCAGCCACACUGGAACUGAGACACGGUCCAGACUCCUACGGGAGGCAGCAGUGGGGAAUAUUGCACAAUGGGCGCAAGCCUGAUGCAGCCAUGCCGCGUGUGUGAAGAAGGCCUUCGGGUUGUAAAGCACUUUCAGCGGGGAGGCGUUACCCGCAGAAGAAGCACCGGCUAACUCCGUGCCAGCAGCCGCGGUAAUAC
rnacentral:rRNA from 1 species